UACGUAGGGUGCGAGCGUUGCCCGGAUUUAUUGGGCGUAAAGGGCGCGUAGGCGGCUCGACACGUCCGUUGUGAAAACUGGAGGCUUAACCUCCAGACGUCGACGGAAACCGCGCGGCUAGAGUCCGGAAGAGGAGAGUGGAAUUCCUGGUGUAGCGGUGAAAUGCGCAGAUAUCAGGAGGAACACCGGUGGCGAAGGCGGGUCUCUGGGCCGAUACUGACACUGAGAAGCGAAAGCGUGGGGAGCGAACAGG
rnacentral:rRNA from 1 species